GCGGCAGGCCUAACACAUGCAAGUCGAGCGGAAACGAGUUAUCUGAACCUUCGGGGAACGAUAACGGCGUCGAGCGGCGGACGGGUGAGUAAUGCCUAGGAAAUUGCCCUGAUGUGGGGGAUAACCAUUGGAAACGAUGGCUAAUACCGCAUGAUGCCUACGGGCCAAAGAGGGGGACCUUCGGGCCUCUCGCGUCAGGAUAUGCCUAGGUGGGAUUAGCUAGUUGGUGAGGUAAGGGCUCACCAAGGCGACGAUCCCUAGCUGGUCUGAGAGGAUGAUCAGCCACACUGGAACUGAGACACGGUCCAGACUCCUACGGGAGGCAGCAGUGGGGAAUAUUGCACAAUGGGCGCAAGCCUGAUGCAGCCAUGCCGCGUGUGUGAAGAAGGCCUUCGGGUUGUAAAGCACUUUCAGUCGUGAGGAAGGUAGUGUAGUUAAUAGCUGCAUUAUUUGACGUUAGCGACAGAAGAAGCACCGGCUAACUCCGUGCCAGCAGCCGCGGUAAUACGGAGGGUGCGAGCGUUAAUCGGAAUUACUGGGCGUAAAGCGCAUGCAGGUGGUUUGUUAAGUCAGAUGUGAAAGCCCGGGGCUCAACCUCGGAAUAGCAUUUGAAACUGGCAGACUAGAGUACUGUAGAGGGGGGUAGAAUUUCAGGUGUAGCGGUGAAAUGCGUAGAGAUCUGAAGGAAUACCGGUGGCGAAGGCGGCCCCCUGGACAGAUACUGACACUCAGAUGCGAAAGCGUGGGGAGCAAACAGGAUUAGAUACCCUGGUAGUCCACGCCGUAAACGAUGUCUACUUGGAGGUUGUGGCCUUGAGCCGUGGCUUUCGGAGCUAACGCGUUAAGUAGACCGCCUGGGGAGUACGGUCGCAAGAUUAAAACUCAAAUGAAUUGACGGGGGCCCGCACAAGCGGUGGAGCAUGUGGUUUAAUUCGAUGCAACGCGAAGAACCUUACCUACUCUUGACAUCCAGAGAACUUUCCAGAGAUGGAUUGGUGCCUUCGGGAACUCUGAGACAGGUGCUGCAUGGCUGUCGUCAGCUCGUGUUGUGAAAUGUUGGGUUAAGUCCCGCAACGAGCGCAACCCUUAUCCUUGUUUGCCAGCGAGUAAUGUCGGGAACUCCAGGGAGACUGCCGGUGAUAAACCGGAGGAAGGUGGGGACGACGUCAAGUCAUCAUGGCCCUUACGAGUAGGGCUACACACGUGCUACAAUGGCGCAUACAGAGGGCGGCCAACUUGCGAAAGUGAGCGAAUCCCAAAAAGUGCGUCGUAGUCCGGAUUGGAGUCUGCAACUCGACUCCAUGAAGUCGGAAUCGCUAGUAAUCGUGGAUCAGAAUGCCACGGUGAAUACGUUCCCGGGCCUUGUACACACCGCCCGUCACACCAUGGGAGUGGGCUGCAAAAGAAGUAGGUAGUUUAACCUUCGGGGGGACGCUUACCACUUUGUGGUUCA
rnacentral:rRNA from 1 species